rnacentral:tRNA from 1 species
GCGCGGUUAGCUCAGUGGUAGAGCACUACCUUGACACGGUAGGGGUCACUGGUUCGAACCCAGUAUCGCGCACGA